rnacentral:rRNA from 1 species
AUACGGAGGAUGCGAGCGUUAUCCGGAUUUAUUGGGUUUAAAGGGAGCGUAGGUGGGGUAUUAAGUCAGCUGUGAAAGUUUGGGGCUCAACCUUAAAAUUGCAGUUGAUACUGGUUUCCUUGAGUACGGUACAGGUGGGCGGAAUUCGUGGUGUAGCGGUGAAAUGCUUAGAUAUCACGAAGAACUCCGAUCGCGAAGGCAGCUCACCGGGCCGGAACUGACACUGAUGCUCGAAAGUGCGGGUAUCAAACAGGAUUAGAUACCCUGGUAGUCCGCACAGUAAACGAUGAAUACUCGCUGUUUGCGAUACACUGUAAGCGGCCAAGCGAAAGCGUUAAGUAUUCCACCUGGGGAGUACGCCGGCAACGGUGAAACUCAAAUGAAUUGACGGGG